UACAGAGGGGGCAAGCGUUGUUCGGAAUUACUGGGCGUAAAGGGCGCGUAGGCGGCCUUCUAAGUCGAACGUGAAAUCCCCGGGCUCAACCCGGGAACUGCGUCCGAUACUGGGAGGCUUGAAUCCGGGAGAGGGAUGUGGAAUUCCAGGUGUAGCGGUGAAAUGCGUAGAUAUCUGGAGGAACACCGGUGGCGAAGGCGGCGAUCUGGACGAUGACUGACGCUGAGACGCGAAAGCGUGGGGAGCAAACAGG
rnacentral:rRNA from 1 species